GGCGGGAGUGGUGGUGUACUCCUAGAAUCCGACUACUCGGAGACUAGGUAUAGAGGAUGUUUUAUGGGCGGGGGUUCUGGGAUUGGAUUUUCCGCGUUGACUAGGCGUCCGUCAGGGGUAAACCUUUAACUUGAAUGCCUUGGGAGAGCCUAAGGUAGCCAGGUUGGGUUUAAAUAGGGAAAAAAUCGGCCCAAAAGUCACCGAGUUGAGAGUCGUGAGUUCAAAUCUCGGGAGUGGGAGUUUCAUUUCAGCUCGUCCAAACAAGAGCAGACAUGUACCUAC
rnacentral:SRP_RNA from 2 species